rnacentral:tRNA from 1 species
GUUGAUUUAGUUUAUGAAAAAAUGUUGCCUUGUGGAGGUGAAGAAAAUAAUAAUUAAUCAAUU